ACGUAGGGGGCGAGCGUUGUUCGGAAUUAAUGGGCGUAAAGGGCAUGUAGGCGGCUUGGUAAGCCUGGCGUGAAAGUCUGCAGCUUAACUGUAGGGAUGCGUUGGGAACUGCUUAGCUUGAGUUACGGAGAGGGAGCUGGAAUUCCUGGUGUAGGGUUGGAAACUAUAGAUAGCAGGAAGAACACCGAUUGCGGAGGCAAUCUUCUGGCCGAUAACUGACGCUGAGGUACGAAAAUGUGGGGAUCAAACAG
rnacentral:rRNA from 1 species